AUACCUACCUGGCAGGGGCGAAACCAGGAUCAAGAAAAUGGUUUUCUCAGGGCGAGGCUUAUCCACUGCACACCAGAUGUGCUGACCCCUGUGAUUUCUCCAGAUGCAGGGAAACUCCAUAAUUUGUGGUAGUGGGUGAUUUAAUUCAUGUUCUCCCC